UCGCUGAUGGUCCAGCGGCUAAGACUCUGUGCUCCCAAUGCAGGGGGCCAGGGUUCAAUCCCUGGUCAGAGAA
rnacentral:tRNA from 1 species